rnacentral:rRNA from 1 species
AUGCACGAUGAGCUCCUAAAUGAGGCUUGGUUCUGCGAUGUGGCCAAGAUAAAUACAUUGGGCCAACUACGGGAAUUCAUUGAGUUGGCUUCUACCGUUACCUCGGCCAAUCUCGACCCUAACACAUCUGACGCCAUCUCUUGGAACUGGAACCCCAGCAGUGAAUAUUCGGCUAGCUCAACCUAUCAGGCGCAAUUCCUCAGAUCAUAUCCGAGGUUCUCGAGCGACAAAAUCUGGAAGGCGCAUGCAGAGCCAAAAUGCAAGCUUUUCUCCUGGUUGGUCCACAACAGGAUCCUAACGGCUGAUUGACUUGCCACGCGUGGCGGGCCGCAUAACCCUGUCUGCCAACUUUGCCUUUGUACCCUUGAGAACAUAGAACACCUAUGCAAGACCUGUCCGUUCACGUCGGCAAUCUACAACCUUGUCCUGACUUGGGUGGGAGAGCCGUUGGCAUUCGCUCCGAAUGCCACCUUCCCUCCCUCCCUAAAUGACGCCUCGUGGGGUGAUGGCCUCAAGAAUACCGACAAAAACUUGAGAAGGCGACGCAGCAGCUACCUCAUCUAUAUAAUGCGGAAUGCCUGGAAGGAGAGGAACCGACGAAUCUUCAAAGGCGCAAGAUUGACUUACAUCAAGGUGGCGCACCUACCUUCGAGGAAAUCAUGCAACGCGAUCUGGCCUUCCGGCCAAGAGUGA